CAAAAUAAGAGUUGUAUAAAUAAGAUAUAUGUCAAUUAUUUUACACCAUGAAUGAUAUAGAAAUUUGAUAUCAUAAUAUCAUAUCAUUGCAUAAGGUAGAAAAAACAAGGAUGAUAGUCAUUUCAAAGAUCUAAAUAAUCAUUUGAAUCAUUAUUUACCUAAAUUUCACAUAUCAAAGGUAGAAAAAACAUCAUGCCCAAAAUAAAACACAAGCACAUGUUUUAUUCGCUAUGAUCUAAAUCAUUAUUUAUAGAGUCAGAUGUUUCUAAGACAUAUUCAUUGUUGUCAACAUCUUCAUCAACCUCAUCUACUAGAUAUACCAAAGCACCAUCUGAAUGAAUUGGCAUGAUAUCAUCAUCAAUUGUCGUGUGAGGGGUCCAUUCAACAAGCUCUUCUUGAAAAGGAGUAGGAUCCAUAGGAAUAUUUUGAAUAGUUGAUACUUCUACAAGUGGUCUUGCCUUCACCUUACAAGCUGCCAACCAAUCUCUCCUACUUUGAUUUUUACUUGAAAAUUAUUCUUUAGUGAAACGUCAUAAGUCUGAACACCUACUUCCCACAAAUGACUCAAUUCAGCUAUAAGUGGAUGGAGAAAGAUAUCAAUCAUGUCUUUUGGAUUAUGUGGGCCAGGAAUUACAGCCGUGAGAAACAUAUGUUGUUCUCUCAUGCACAUCCAAGGUGGAAGAUUAUAUUAAGGCUGACAAUUUUCGACACGACACGAAAGCACGAGACGAAACCGCACGAAAUUAAUGGGUUAAUAACAGUUGAGACGUGCUACAGUUCAUUGAGACAGUUGCAAUAGUUCCGAUGUUUAUAUAAAGAAAAUGGCUGAGAAGAUGCUACCAAAGUUUGAGAAGUAUUGGUCCGAUUUCAGCUUGAUCUUGACUAUGGCUGUGGUCUUUGAUCCACGCUAUAAGUUUCAAUUUGUGGAAUUCUUUUAUAAGAAGUUGUAUGGCCCCAACUCUCGUCAGUGUUCACUAGUAAGAGAGAAGUUAUUUGCUCUUUUUGAAGAAUAUCGUAAGAGCAACGACGGUUUUGGUCUUGCUAGAAGUGGGGGUUCGACAUUAAAUGAUUCAACCUGUGAAUUCACAAACGAAGAAUCUAAAGCGGUGGUUGAAGAGUUUAGUGCUUUGGAUGAGUUUGGAUUAAGCGAACAAAAGUCACAAUUAGAGUUGUAUAUGCAAGAAGAUUGGAUGCCAAAUCGAGUCUUGAUGUUCUUGGCUUUUGGAAAUGGAAUCAAUACAAAUAUCCACAAGUAGCUUGCAUGGCUCGUGAUAUUUUGAGCAUUCCCAUAACUACGGUUGCUUUUGAAGUUGUUUUUAGUGUUGGUGGAAGAGUACUUGAUCAAUACCGUAGCUCACUUAAAGCAAUCACAAUGAAGGUAAUUAUUUGCACUAGAGAUUGGUUGUUUGGAGAAAAAGCCUUCUAAAGUGAAGUACCAACGUGUGAGUUAGCCGAAGACUUUCUACACGGCGAUGAUGAAUCUCAAACGGAAUCAUCCUCGAUCUCCACUAUUGCUGUUGAUGGUUAGUUUGAUCCAUAAUUGAGAUAAGAUUAUAUUGAGUCUCUACAAAUUAUAAAACUUAGGCCCUUUCCUAAUCGGAUAUUUGGAUGCACAUGUUCUUAUAUUUUCAUCCUGAAAUUUUCAGGAUGAGUAUAUGUUCUGAUAUGGAUUUCAGCCUGGUAUGUUUUGAUAUUUUCCUAAUGUAAUUAUUUAUAGAUCAAACAUCAAAGUGACACUAUUAAAUAUUAAUGAUUAUAAUGAUAUUUCAUGGAGUGUGCAGUGCAGGUGCUUUCAAGUUUCAAAGCUAGGGGAAAUGAAGAAUUAUUUGUGGAUUGGACUCCAAGAACGGGCACUAGAUGGCGAUAUUUUUAUGUUGCUAGACUUUUAUUUUGUUGAACUUGAAACACUUCACUAGAUGGCGAUAUUUUUAUGUUGCUAGACUUUUAUUUUGUUGGACUGAACCUAUGAUUUAUGUUGAUGAAUGGGCCUUAUUAUGUGAGCUUUUAAAUUUCAA